GAGACGUGGAGGAAGGUAGAGGACGCUGGGUACUUCCGCCAGACCAAAGCCGGCUACCAGCUCAGUGGGUUCCGCCUCACCAGGAGGCUACUAAAGUUCCUGUGGGAGUGAAUUAGAAUUUCAUAAGAGCAUAAUGGAUGGAGAAGAGAAAACUUACGGUGGCUGUGAAGGGCCGGAUGCCAUGUAUGUCAAACUGAUAUCUUCUGAUGGCCAUGAAUUUAUUGUAAAAAGAGAACAUGCACUAACAUCAGGAACAAUAAAAGCCAUGUUGAGUGGC